rnacentral:lncRNA from 1 species
CCUUGACCUUAUUUUCAUUUUUUUGGACCAAGGAUCUCAAAUCAAAAGACCCUAGGUCUCUAUCACUUAUGGUUUACCAGUUAGAAAUGCAUUUCAAAAUUAUAUCAAAUACAAAAGGGGAAAUAACUCUCAUAUGGAAUCUAUAUACGGCUUCGGUCAAAAUAAAACAGAACAUCCUGAGGAUAUAACGAGCAAUUUGGAAAAAUAAAUUUGUCGGUUUCUUAUACGGUUGCGAAGCCUUAGAGAUAACAAGAAAAACAGUGUUCGGGGAGAUAACUCUUAUUUGGGAAAGUAUUCGGUUAAGCAGAGUUGGUUUCAAAAGCGUAUAAACUGUUCGAUAUCAUAUUCCAAAAAUCUAAGCGACAUCUUGCGAAACAAAAAAA